AUUGGACGCUGGCGGCAUGCCUUACACAUGCAAGUCGAACGGUAACGGGCCUUCGGGUGCCGACGAGUGGCGAACGGGUGAGUAAUACAUCGGAACGUGCCCGAUCGUGGGGGAUAACGAGGCGAAAGCUUUGCUAAUACCGCAUACGAUCUACGGAUGAAAGCAGGGGACCGCAAGGCCUUGCGCGGACGGAGCGGCCGAUGGCAGAUUAGGUAGUUGGUGGGAUAAAAGCUUACCAAGCCGACGAUCUGUAGCUGGUCUGAGAGGAUGAUCAGCCACACUGGGAUUGAGACACGGCCCAGACUCCUACGGGAGGCAGCAGUGGGGAAUUUUGGACAAUGGGCGCAAGCCUGAUCCAGCCAUGCCGCGUGCAGGAUGAAGGCCUUCGGGUUGUAAACUGCUUUUGUACGGAACGAAAAGCCUUCUUUUAAUACAGGAGGGUCAUGACGGUACCGUAAGAAUAAGCACCGGCUAACUACGUG
rnacentral:rRNA from 1 species